rnacentral:misc_RNA from 1 species
AGCCACAGCCUACGCGCCCCACUUCGUCAACGGUGCCCUCCGAGGUGUCUUCUACGGCAAUGACUCCACCCAGCGGGCACACAUGGGACUGCGUGGUAUUCCUCGGCCUGACGGCGCUUAGCCUCGGCACCGGUCUGUACCUGUCUCUGCGUCGACGGUCUCGCUUCCGGAGCAAAGAUGAGACGUUCCUGGGAAGCCGGACGAUCCACACCCUUCCGCUGGCCCUGUCUAUGGUGGCGUCCAACGUGUCCGCGUCCGGUCUCAUCGCGUUCACCGCGCAUUACUACGUGUACGGCUUCCACACGCUCUGGGCCAUACCGGUCUUUGUGCCGGCCGUGAUGAUGGUCGCCUAUCUCUUCCUGCCCGUCCUGUAUGAGCUCAAGGUCACGUCGGUCUUCGAGUACCUUCGUAUGCGCUACGGAAACGGCGUUGGAGUUGCAUCGUCGGUGAUCUACUUCGUCUUAAGCCAAGCUAUAGGUGUGGCUGGCCUGUACAGUGCUGCGAUUGCCAUUUCUACAGUGCUCGAGGUGUCAACGGUAGUCGCCACAGUCAUAGUUGGCGUCGCUGGAACCGGAUACACUGCGCUGGGCGGGCUCCGCAGUGUAGUUUGGGCCGACUGCGUGCAGACCCUGAUCAUGACGGCCUCGCCUCUGGUAAUCAUCACCAAGAUAGCCUACGAUGCUUCCGGCACAAACGUGUCAGCAUCGAGCCGAGAAAAACUGGACGUCAGGGCUUACAUAUUUCGGACCGACCUCGACCUGACCACCGACGAAACAGUGUGGGCCGCCUCGGUCGCAGCGUUUCCGUACCAGCUCCUGCGACUGGGCCUCGAUCAAAUGAUCACGCAACGCUUCUUGGCGGCGAGGACUCUUCGCGAGGCGAGAGUGGUAACGUUCAUCGGUGCUGGCCUACUCGCCCUCUUCUACGCUCUCGGUGGCUUCACAGCCCUAGCAAUCGUCUUUUGGUUCCGGGGCUGUGACCCGUAUCUUUCCGGAUCCAUAUCUCGAUACGAUCAGAUCGUGCCCUACUACAUCAACAAAAGCGCAAGUGCGGUCGCCGGUGUGCGAGGCUUGUUCCUGGCUGGAGUGGUGAGCGCGUCGAUAAGCACGAUGUCGUCCAUUGUCAACUCCCAGGCAGCCGUGCUGUACGUAGACAUUGUGUCACCGAAAGUACGCGUCUCUGAAAAAACGACUCCAUUCGUUGUAGCUGGCCUCGCUGUGACCAGCGGCACGGUGAUGACCCUUUUUGGACUCGCGGUUCCUUACGCCGGAUCUGCUGCUAGGUUCUGCAUAUCACUCUACUCAUCGGCGUCGGGCCCCUUCGCCGGAAUCAUGAUACUCGCCUUCAUGUUCCCAUGGGCAAACGCAAGGAUCGCAGGUGUUCCUUCUGUACCGCCUUUCACCGUACUGGUGCUGCCUGCUGUCAGCCUGUGCGACCGUGCUGCUCGGACUGGUGUUCAGUCUGUUGAUCGCUGGACCAGAUGACAGCCUAAAAAAUGCCGCAAGAUUAUCGACACCAGCAACGUUGAAGUUCUGGCAGCGGAUCGGCCUGCUUCAACAUUUGGAAAAGGAGGCUGCUCAAAUCACAGUCGUUGACCCUUGCUUCAAAGUGUCCCCUUUCGAACUCCAACCCUUGCACGAGAGCCAGGGUGGUCAUCGCGUCCCCGUCGACGCGACGAGAGAGACUGGCGUACUUUACAAGUUCAC